rnacentral:rRNA from 1 species
AGAGUUUGAUUAUGGCUCAGGAUGAACGCUAGCUACAGGCUUAACACAUGCAAGUCGAGGGCAGCAGGGAGAAAGCUUGCUUCUUGCUGGCGACCGGCGCACGGGUGAGUAACGCGUAUCCAACCUUCCCCUUAGUAGGGCAUAGCCCGGCGAAAGUCGGAUUAAUACCCUAUGUUAUCCGAAGAGGACAUCUGAAUUGGAUUAAAGAUUUAUCGCUAAGGGAUGGGGAUGCGUCUGAUUAGGUAGUCGGCGGGGUAACGGCCCACCGAGCCUACGAUCAGUAGGGGUUCUGAGAGGAAGGUCCCCCACAUUGGUACUGAGACACGGACCAAACUCCUACGGGAGGCAGCAGUGAGGAAUAUUGGUCAAAGGGCGUAAGCCUGAACCAGCCAAGUAGCGUGCAGGAUGACGGCCCUAUGGGUUGUAAACUGCUUUUAUGCGGGGAUAAAGUGCGGCACGUGUGCCGUUUUGUAGGUACCGCAUGAAUAAGGACCGGCUAAUUCCGUGCCAGCCGCCGC